rnacentral:rRNA from 1 species
AGAACGAACGCUGGCGGCAUGCCUAAUACAUGCAAGUCGAACGAACUCUUCGGAGUUAGUGGCGCACGGGUGCGUAACGCGUGGGAAUCUGCCCUUGGGUUCGGAAUAACAGUUGGAAACGACUGCUAAUACCGGAUGAUGACGAAAGUCCAAAGAUUUAUCGCCCAGGGAUGAGCCCGCGUAGGAUUAGCUAGUUGGUGAGGUAAAGGCUCACCAAGGCGACGAUCCUUAGCUGGUCUGAGAGGAUGAUCAGCCACACUGGGACUGAGACACGGCCCAGACUCCUACGGGAGCAGCAGUAGGGAAUAGUUGGACAAGUGGGACGAAAGGCCUAGGAUCCAGCAAUGCCGCGUGAGUGAUGAAGGCCUUAGGUGUAAAGCUUCUUUACCGAGUAUGAUAAUGAACGUAGUAGUCGGAAGAAGUAACGGCCCCGGUACUAACC